UGUGUACUCCCUCCGUUCCAAAAUACUUGACUUCCAUUUGUCCAAAAUGAAUGUACCUAUAUACUAAAACAUGUCUAGAUACAUAUAUAUUUUGACAAAUAGAAGGCAUUUAUUGUGCAACGGAGGGAGUAGAAU
rnacentral:pre_miRNA from 1 species